rnacentral:misc_RNA from 1 species
AAGAUGUGGCAACGAGUGCCUUUUCAGAGAAACAAGUUGGUAAGUUUUUUUUUAUAUAAUUAUGGAAUCUUUUAUGAAGUAAAAGAGCAUUUUUAUCAAUAUUUUUUUUUUAUAAUUUACCUUCCAUUUUAUAAGAAAAGUCAAUAUUUGUUUCUAAAAAAAAUCUGAAUUUCUCAUUCUAUAUUCUGGAUGUACUUGAAAGCAGACAACUUAACAUAUUUGUUCUACAAUCAUUCUGUAAUAUGAAUCAAAUAUUUUAGACAUAAAACAACCCAAAAGUAAGUAUCUCAGAUAAACAAUGGAUGUUGCUAGAGUAACAGUGAAAGGUUGCAUGACAGUAACCAUGGUGACAGAUUGUAAUCAAGUUCUUGAUAUUGUGUGGUUUCUUGUUUCCAGUGAAUGCAAUGCUUAGUAAUAAUCCGCUUAACAUUGAAUUUUGCUUUUGCUUUUAUUGAUUGGUAAGAAAGGGAACAAAAAAUUAACAUAAUUUAAUAUUGUACAGGAUAGAAGCUAUUUAUAACACAUACAGAAUUCUUUCUGUUAUACCAUUGCAUGGACUGUCCUGCUUUUUUAAAACCAUCUGUAUUAUGUGAUUUCUUAUUGUGUGGCGAGGGUUGGUGUUGGAAACUUUCUGAUAUGAAGUUCAUAUGUCAAUAUCUUUUAGAUAUUUGUCUGCAUUGGUGUAAGUCAAUGAUUUGAUAUUUACAGAUGAUCGGAUUCGCCUGAUGACGGGGACAUUGGAUCCCUACGAGUUCUCCAUUUCCACCGGCCCCUCGCGCUAUCAGUCAACCCAACCCUCCAGGAACACCCCAGCUUCCAGCGUGUCAGGUCAACUCCAGGUCAACGGGUGAAGGUCAACUCCAGGUCAAUGGAUGAAGGUCAUUGAAGAAUUCAAGGUCAUUGAAAGAAAAACAAUUUAUGUUCCAGGAAUGAAGAUUGUUACAAAAUUUGUCUUAUGGAUAUGUACUUACAAAUUAAGUUUGCUUAAAUUUUUAACUUAAAGUUAUUUGUCUUAAUGAUUGAGCAAAUUUUAUUUUACACAUUUUUUUUAAUGUAAACGAGAUGAAUUUACACCUAUUUGAAUGUAAAUGUAUGGUAUACAAUAUUAAGUUCUAAAUUGUGCCUCUAUUCAGAAUAUUGAUGAAGAUUUUAUUUUUAUACAUGUAAACAAUCAUGUGAAGAAUUUGUGUUGUGUAUGACUGUGAUAUGUGAAUGUUUACAAACUCAACAAUGAACAGAUAAUAUCUGUUUAUAAAGAUAUGCCUUGUAUUAUGCCUUAUUUUGUUUCGAAGAGAACUAUUGUUUUUGUUUUAAUAAAUAUUUUAUACUC